GACGAACGCUGGCGGCGUGCUUAACACAUGCAAGUCGAACGGUGACGAGGAGCUUGCUCCUCUGAUCAGUGGCGAACGGGUGAGUAACACGUGAGCAACCUGCCCCAGACUCUGGGAUAACAGUUGGAAACAGCUGCUAAUACCGGAUACGAGACGGAGAGGCAUCUCUACCGUCUGGAAAGUUUUUCGGUCUGGGAUGGACUCGCGGCCUAUCAGCUAGUUGGUGAGGUAAUGGCUCACCAAGGCGACGACGGGUAGCCGGCCUGAGAGGGCGACCGGCCACACUGGGACUGAGACACGGCCCAGACUCCUACGGGAGGCAGCAGUGGGGAAUAUUGCACAAUGGGCGAAAGCCUGAUGCAGCGACGCCGCGUGAGGGAUGACGGCCUCGGUUGUAACUACUUCUGCAGGAAGAAGACGAAGUAGACGGUACCGUGUCAGAAGAAGCACCGGCGAACUACGUAGCCAGCAGCCGCGGUAAACGU
rnacentral:rRNA from 1 species